rnacentral:rRNA from 1 species
UAGGGAAUCUUCGGCAAUGGACGAAAGUCUGACCGAGCAACGCCGCGUGAGUGAAGAAGGUUUUCGGAUCGUAAACUCUGUUGGUAGAGAAGAACGUUGGUGAGAGUGGAAAGCUCAUCAAGUGACGGUAACUACCCAGAAAGGGACGGCUAACUACGUGCCGG